GUACACUCCUGCGGGAGGCAGCAGUGGGGAAUUUUGGACAAUGGGCGAAAGCCUGAUCCAGCAAUGCCGCGUGAGUGAAGAAGGCCUUCGGGUUGUAAAGCUCUUUUGUCAGGGAAGAAACGGUGAAAGCUAAUAUCUUUUGCUAAUGACGGUACCUGAAGAAUAAGCACCGGCUAACUACGUGCCAGCAGCCGCGGUAAUACGUAGGGUGCAAGCGUUAAUCGGAAUUACUGGGCGUAAAGCGUGCGCAGGCGGUUUUGUAAGUCUGAUGUGAAAUCCCCGGGCUCAACCUGGGAAUUGCAUUGGAGGCUGCAAGGCUAGAAUCUGGCAGAGGGGGGUAGAAUUCCACGUGUAGCAGUGAAAUGCGUAGAUAUGUGGAGGAACACCGAUGGCGAAGGCAGCCCCCUGGGUCAAGAUUGACGCUCAUGCACGAAAGCGUGGGGAGCAAACAGGAUUAGAAACCCCUGUAGUCCCAUGAU
rnacentral:rRNA from 1 species